AUUUAUAGUAUAGCAAUUAAAUUAGUUA
rnacentral:rRNA from 1 species